rnacentral:rRNA from 1 species
UGGUCAAGUUAUUAAGGGUGCAGGGCGGAUGCCUUGGCACUAGGAGCCGAUGAAGGACGUGAUAAGCUGCGAUAAGCUUCGGGGAGUUGCACGUAAACUUUGAUCCGAAGAUUUCCGAAUGAGGAAACUCACUUAGAGUAAUGUCUAAGUAUCAUUAAGUGAAUACAUAGCUUAAUGAGGGGAACUCAGGGAACUGAAACAUCUAAGUACCUGAAGGAAGAGAAAGAAAUUCGAUUCCGUAAGUAGCGGCGAGCGAACGCGGAUUAGCCCAAACCAAUAAAGUUUUCUUUAUUGGGGUUGCGGACAUAUCAUAACGAAGAGGUAUCGUAAUUGAAGAGGUUUGGAAAGACCCACCACAGAAGGUAAUAGUCCUGUAUGUUAAACGAGAAGACUUUAGAUAUGAUCCAGAGUACCACGGGACACGUGAAACCCUGUGGGAAGCAGGAGGGACCACCCUCCAAGGCUAAAUACUACCUAGUGACCGAUAGCGUAUAGUACCGUGAGGGAAAGGUGAAAAGAACCCCGGGAGGGGAGUGAAAUAGAACCUGAAACCCUGCACUUACAAGCUGUGGAAGCACAUUUCUUGUGUGACCGCGUACUUUUUGUAGAACGGGCCAACGAGUUACGUUAAGUAGCAAGGUUAAGCACUUAAGGUGCGGAGCCGUAGCGAAAGCGAGUUUUAACUGAGCGUUCAGUUACUUGACGUAGACCCGAAACCGGGCGACCUACCCAUGAGCAGGAUGAAGCGAAAGUAAAAUUUCGUGGAGGUCCGAACCCACGAGCGUUGAAAAGCUCGGGGAUGACUUGUGGGUAGCGGUGAAAUUCCAAUCGAGCCCGGAGAUAGCUGGUUCUCCCCGAAAUAGCUUUAGGGCUAGCCUCAAGGUGAGAGAUACGGAGGUAGAGCACUGAAUGUCCUAGGGGGUAUUGCACCUACCGAAGACUAUCAAACUCCGAAUGCCGUCAUCUUAUACUUGGGAGUCAGACUGUGGGUGAUAAGAUUCAUAGUCGAAAGGGCAACAGCCCAGAUCGUCAGCUAAGGUCCCUAAAUGUAAGUUAAGUGGUAAAGGAUGUGGGAUUGCACAGACAACCAGGAUGUUGGCUUAGAAGCAGCCACUCAUUCAAAGAGUGCGUAAUAGCUCACUGGUCGAGUGAUCCUGCGCCGAAGAUUUCCGGGGCUAAAACUUACUACCGAAGCUACGGCAUCAGUAAUGAUGGGUAGGGGAGCUUCCCAUACGGGUUGAAGCAUGACCGUAAGGACAUGUGGACAGUAUGGGAGUGAGAAUGUUGGCAUGAGUAGCGAGAUGUGGGUGAGAAUCCCACAGGCCGUAAACCCAAGGUUUCCAGGGGAAGGUUCGUCCGCCCUGGGUUAGUCGGGACCUAAGCUGAGGCCGAAAGGCGUAGGUGAUGGACAACAGGUUGAUAUUCCUGUACUACCGAUAACCGUUUGAGAGAAGGGAUGACACAGUAGGAUAAGCUAAGCACACUGUUGGUUAUGUGUGCCAAGCAUUGAGGCAGUCAAAGUAGGCAAAUCCGCUUUGAUAAUGCUGGGAUGUGAUGGGGAGCGAAAUUUAGUAGCGAAGUAGCUGAUUUCACACUGUCAAGAAAAGUCUCUAUCGAGGUUAAAGGUACCCGUACCGCAAACCGACACAGGUGGGUGAGGAGAGUAUCCUAAGGCCAGCGAGAGAACUGUUGUUAAGGAACUCGCAAAAUGACCCCGUAACUUAGGGAUAAGGGGUGCCACCAUCAGGUGGCCGCAGAGAAUAGGCCCAAGCGACUGUUUACCAAAAACAUAGGUUUCUGCUAAGUCGCAAGACGAUGUAUAGGAGCUGACGCCUGCCCGGUGCUGGAAGUUAAGGGGAUCUGUUAGAGCAAUCGAAGCAGUGAACUUAAGCCCAGUAAACGGCGGCCGUAACUAUAACGGUCCUAAGGUAGCGAAAUUCCUUGUCGGGUAAGUUCCGACCCGCACGAAAGGCGUAACGAUUUGGGCACUGUCUCAACAACAGACUCGUGAAAUUGUAAUUCCGGUGAAGAUGCCGGAUACUGCGACAGGACGGAAAGACCCAUGGAGCUUUACUGUAGCUUGACAUUGGGUCUUGGUACUACAUGUACAGGAUAGGUGGGAGCUUUGAAACCAGGACGCCAGUUUUGGCGGAGCCAUCCUUGGGAUA